rnacentral:rRNA from 2 species
UACGGAGGAUGCGAGCGUUAUUCGGAAUCAUUGGGUUUAAAGGGUCUGUAGGCGGGCUAUUAAGUCAGGGGUGAAAGGUUUCAGCUUAACUGAGAAAUUGCCUUUGAUACUGGUAGUCUUGAAUAUCUGUGAAGUUCUUGGAAUGUGUAGUGUAGCGGUGAAAUGCUUAGAUAUUACACAGAACACCGAUUGCGAAGGCAGGGGACUAACAGACAAUUGACGCUGAGAGACGAAAGCGUGGGGAGCGAACAGG